UUGGCGACGCCUGAGCAUCUUCCUAAUCUCUGAAACAGUUUGAGAUGUGGCUUUUUCUUCAAGCCACCUCUCCCACUACGUAACAUUUAAUUUUCUCUACCACUACCUUCUAUGAAUUUCAGUGAUCAAUCCUAUAAAUAGUGACAAUAAAUUCCCCAAAUUUCAUUGCCUCACACAAUUCCUUCAUAUUGCUAAAAAAAAAAAGCGUCUUCACCACAAAUAAUCAUCACACAAUUGCUUCCUGGACAAGAAUAAGCUUAAACAGCUGGAAUGGUUACUUCCCACCCCCUACUAUCCGAUGUGAAAAGGAAGUGGAAGAUGAUUCCUUACGCUGCUGGUGUCAUUGUCCCUCUAGCUUUAACCCUUUUGGUCCGCAACGCUAAGAAAGACGAGAAACGAGGACGUCGGUGGAGAGCCAGGUCAUACCGUUAGGAACCACCGGUUCAAAGAUCCCGUCAGCUCUCACUGGGAAGACAUCUCCACUCUCCCAGAGCUCUUCGAGAUCUCGUGCAAGAACCACAGCUACAGGUUUUCCCUCGGGACCAGGAGGCUGAUCGCUAGAGAGGUCGAGACUAGCAAAGACGGGAAAGUGUUUGAGAAACUUCAUUUGGUGAUUAUGAGUGCAAGACAUUCGGGCAGACGCUUGAAGCUGUGUGUAGUUUUGCUUCUGGUUUGGUUCAGAUUGGACACAAGUCGGAGGAACGUGUCGCCAUUUUUGCGGAUAUGAGAGAAGAGUGGUUCAUUCCGUUACAGGGUUGCUUCAGGCGCAACGUCACUGUGGUUACUAUCUAUUCAUCUUUGGGAGAGGAAGCUCUUUGUCACUCGCUCAAUGAGAUAUGUUGAUUGUGUUCACGGCAACCCACAAACAAGAAAUAGAGAGUUACAUCGUUUCUACAGAAGGAGCACUCUCCAUUUUUUUAUCUCUCUUACAGUACGAAGCGGCAAAAAAAAAUACACCGUUAAUAAAUAAAU